rnacentral:lncRNA from 1 species
UUGCAAAGAAGAAAAAUUGUUAGUUUUUCAGAAUUGAUGGGGUUGUGGGUGAAAUUUUAAAGUGUUUUUUCCAGUGUUUUAAAUAUGCUUUAGUAAAUGAAAAGGUACCAUAUGAUUCAGAGAGGAGGGAGAUAGCCCAGCAGGAGGGAGAUGCCGCGGGGACAGAGGCACAGAGGUUAGAGGGUGAGUGGCCACAGAGAAGAGGCUCUGGGAAGAGGGAAGAGCCAGGAGCCUGGCCUGUUGGAAACACUCAUUCCUCUCCACUCAUCCAUGCCUCUUUGCCCACCUCAUGGCACUAUGGUUACAGUUACAAAUUAUUUUCAUGUACCUAUCUCAACGCUCCUGCCACAUCUUUUUAAAAAUGUUUCUUUUGAGACAGGAUCUCACUCUACCCCAGAGCGAGACCCUAGAGUACAGUGGCACGAUCACAGUUCACUGCAGCCUUGACCUCCCAGGCUCAAGCGAUCCUCCCACCUCAGCCUCCCGGGUAGCUGGGACUACAGGUGUGUGUCACCAUGCCCAGGUAAUUUUUGUAUUUUUUGUAGAGAUGGGGCUUCAU